rnacentral:rRNA from 1 species
AUUGAACGCUGGCGGCAGGCCUAACACAUGCAAGUCGAACGAGUGGCGGACGGGUGAGUAAUGUCUGGGAAACUGCCUGAUGGAGGGGGAUAACUACUGGAAACGGUAGCUAAUACCGCAUACCAUCAGAUGUGCCCAGAUGGGAUUAGCUGGUGGGUGGGGUAACGUCUCACCAAGGCGACGAUCCCUAGCUGGUCUGAGAGGAUGACCGGCAACACUGGAACUGAGCCACGGUCAAGACUCGUACGGGGGGCAGUAGGGGGGAAUAUUGCACAAGGGGCGCAAGCCUGAUGCAGCCAUGCCGCGUGUAUGAAGAAGGCCUUCGGUUUGUAAAGUACUUUCAGCGGGGAGGCGUUACCCGCAGAAGAAGCACCGGCUAACUCCGUGCCAGCAGCCGCGGUAAAC